UGUGCUGUGUUUCACUUGGUUCUUGUUCCGGUAGUCCCUCACUGUCUCAACCUCACUCUAAAUUGGAAGACCCUGGAGAAACAGGAGAGCAGAUGACAUAGAGACCAUUCCGAGGGAGGGAGACAACUAUGUUCCAACUCAGCAUUCGGGCGGGACGUAAAAGGGGGGCCAAAUUCCUCUUCCUCCUCCAUUUUGUUCUAUUUAUACCCUCACUGGGGAGCGCAACCUACUUUUCUGAGUCCACCAGUUCGAAUGUUAAUCUCAUCUGGAAAAAGCCUCACAGACACACCCAGGAAUAAUGGUUAGUAUGGACACCCUUUUGUACACAAAAUGAACCAUCACAGGCAGGGAGAAGGUGAGAAGGUAUGGACAACAGUAUCAGAUACUGUCCAGUGGACAAGCAGGAGAAGAACUGAAAAGUGUCAACAGGAUUGAACAACAUGGAGAAAUACUGCUGCCAAGAAAGUAUCCUAUGACAAUAAUAUAGACAGGAGGACAAAGAUAUAUGAAGAUGUUGCUGCGGCUGACGUCGAAGAGGUUGCUGCCUGUGUUCUCCUCGAGGAUUUUGAU